rnacentral:rRNA from 1 species
GCGUGCCUUUUGCAUAAUGAGCCUACGAGUUACUCGUCUCUAGCAAGGUUAAUUUUUUAAAGUAGCCGAAGCGAAAGCAAGUCUGAAUAGGGCGUAUAGUUAGUAGUAGUAGACGCGAAACCGAGUGAUCUACCCAUGGGCAGGUUGAAGCUGUGGUAACACACAGUGGAGGACCGAACCAGUUGACGUUGAAAAGUCUUUGGAUGAGUUGUGGGUAGGG